AGUGAACGCUGGCGGCGUGCCUAAGACAUGCAAGUCGAACGAGAAAGGUAGCAAUACUAAGUAAAGUGGCGCACGGGUGAGUAAUAUUUAGAUAAUGCGCCUCUUCGCUGGGGAUAACCAGGCGAAAGCUUGGCUAAUACCGAAUGACCCGACAGAAACUGCGGUUUUUGUCGGUAAAGGCGUAAGCCGUGAAGAGAGCAGUCUGAAUCCGAUUAGCUAGUUGGCGGAGUAAAAGCCCACCAAGGCUAUGAUCGGUAGCUGGUCUGAGAGGAUGAUCAGCCACACUGGUACUGGAACACGGACCAGACUCCUACGGGAGGCAGCAGUUAGGAAUUUUGCGCAAUGGGGGAAACCCUGACGCAGCAACGCCGCGUGAGUGAUGAAGGCCUUCGGGUUGUAAAGCUCUUUUAGUUGAGAAGAAAAAAAUGACGGUAUCAACAGAAACAGCACCGGCUAACUCCGUG
rnacentral:rRNA from 1 species